rnacentral:rRNA from 1 species
UGUAUAAUGGGUCAGCGACUUAUAUUCUGUAGCAAGGUUAACCGAAUAGGGGAGCCGAAGGGAAACCGAGUCUUAACUGGGCGUUAAGUUGCAGGGUAUAGACCCGAAACCCGGUGAUCUAGCCAUGGGCAGGUUGAAGGUUGGGUAACACUAACUGGAGGACCGAACCGACUAAUGUUGAAAAAUUAGCGGAUGACUUGUGGCUGGGGGUGAAAGGCCAAUCAAACCGGGAGAUAGCUGGUUCUCCCCGAAAGCUAUUUAGGUAGCGCCUCGUGAAUUCAUCUCCGGGGGUAGAGCACUGUUUCGGCAAGGGGGUCAUCCCGACUUACCAACCCGAUGCAAACUGCGAAUACCGGAGAAUGUUAUCACGGGAGACACACGGCGGGUGCUAACGUCCGUCGUGAAGAGGGAAACAACCCAGACCGCCAGCUAAGGUCCCAAAGUCAUGGUUAAGUGGGAAACGAUGUGGGAAGGCCCAGACAGCCAGGAUGUUGGCUUAGAAGCAGCCAUCAUUUAAAGAAAGCGUAAUAGCUCACUGGUCGAGUCGGCCUGCGCGGAAGAUGUAACGGGGCUAAACCAUGCACCGAAGCUGCGGCAGCGACGCUUAUGCGUUGUUGGGUAGGGGAGCGUUCUGUAAGCCUGCGAAGGUGUACUGUGAGGUAUGCUGGAGGUAUCAGAAGUGCGAAUGCUGACAUAAGUAACGAUAAAGCGGGUGAAAAGCCCGCUCGCCGGAAGACCAAGGGUUCCUGUCCAACGUUAAUCGGGGCAGGGUGAGUCGAC